UACGUAGGGUGCAAGCGUUGUCCGGAAUUAUUGGGCGUAAAGAGCUCGUAGGCGGUUUGUCGCGUCUGCCGUGAAAGUCCGGGGCUCAACUCCGGAUCUGCGGUGGGUACGGGCAGACUAGAGUGAUGUAGGGGAGACUGGAAUUCCUGGUGUAGCGGUGAAAUGCGCAGAUAUCAGGAGGAACACCGGUGGCGAAGGCGGGUCUCUGGGCAGCAACUGACGCUGGAGGAGCGAAAGCGUGGGGAGCGAACAGG
rnacentral:rRNA from 1 species